CGGAAAGCAGUAGUAACAGCUUUUUUGUACACAACUCAACUUGGAUCAUUGUACAGUCGAAUUCUGUUUUCGCUUUGAAGUUCGAACUUUGUUGUACCCUUCUAUUAGGUUCCGCGCCCCGCAAAGGAACCUGCCAUGUGCUCGCAUUCCCCAAACCACCGUUCGAAAUGCAGUGCUCCUGCACCCGCCACCAUCAUCUUCCUCUUUGUCCCACUCCUCUGUUCCGUCUCCUUCACCAACGUCAAUUCCCAGAUUCUAGAAGCAUGUUCAGCCGCUACGGAUUGUGGGCCAGGUCUGUUCUGUGGCAAUUGCCCUGCUUUGGGCUUGAAGCAACCCAUCUGCACCAGAGGCCAAGCCACACUUCCCACUUCCAUUGUUAAUGGGUUGCCCUUCAACAAGUACACGUGGAUAGUGACCCACAAUUCCUUCAGCAUCGUGGAUGCACCGCCUUUGCCCGGUGUUCAGAGAAUGACCUUUUACAAUCAAGAAGACACCGUCACUAACCAGUUGAGGAAUGGAGUGAGGGGACUCAUGUUGGAUAUGUACGACUUCCAGAAUGAUAUCUGGCUCUGUCAUUCAUUUCGCGGGCAAUGCUACAACUUCACUGCAUUUCAACCAGCGGUUAAUACUUUGAAAGAAGUGGAGGCAUUCUUGACGGAAAAUCCAACUGAGAUUGUCACCAUUGUAAUUGAAGACUACGUGCACACUCCAAAGGGGUUGACAAAUGUGUUCACAAGUGCUGGACUGGAUAAGUAUUGGUUUCCUGUGUCCAAGAUGCCAAAAAAGGGUGAGGAUUGGCCCACUGUGACGGAGAUGGUUCAAGCAAAUCACCGACUUGUUGUUUUUACUUCCGAUGCCUCAAAGGAAGCAGGGGAAGGAAUAGCUUAUCAGUGGAAGCACAUGGUUGAAAAUGAGUCUGGAGAUCCUGGAGUGCAACAGGGUUCUUGUCCACACAGAAAAGAAUCAAAGGCAUUAAAUUCUAAAAGGCAUUCACUUUUUCUGAUGAAUUACUUUCCAACAUAUCCAGUUGAAGUUGACUCUUGCAAAGAGCAUUCAGCUCCACUUGCUGAGAUGGUCAAUACCUGUUACAAAGCAGCAGGGAAUUUGCUACCCAACUUUAUAGCUGUUAAUUUUUACAUGAGGAGUGAUGGAGGUGGUGUUUUUGAUAUUGUGGAUAAAAUGAAUGGCCAUACAUUGUGUGGGUGUAGUACUGUCACAGCCUGCCAGGCGGGUGCACCCUUUGGGUCUUGCAAGAAUAUUUCUGUACCUAGUACAAGUCCAGUGACUAAUACUGCUGGAAGCUUUACUGGAUCUGUUCAGUUCUCUAAAUCAGCUUCAUCUGUCCAUCUUCCAAACUUUUUGCUUCUUGUCGUCUUUUACUUCCUGCAAAGUCUUGCUGCAGCGGUGAUGACUAUUAGCACUGUUUUAUAACUUGUAUCUUGGCAUGUACACUGCAGUAUUGUCUCAAGCUGUGAAUUAUCAUGGAACUGUUGCUAGGUUAAAAAAAUUAGAUAUAGAGAAAUUCUUGUUUCUUGCUGAGACUAUGUUCAAGGAUCUGUGAAGUCAUUUGAGUUGGUAGUCAUGAGAGACCAAGAAUUUAUCUGGAGCUAUAAGUAGUUCAGGUUUUGGCAACAACAGAAUUAGGAUAGAAUGGCUAAAAGCUCUUGAUCCUUGUUAAGGUUUGUAUUUAUAAUUGUAUCCCAACUAUUCAUAUUUCCUGUCUUUCCUUCCCACUACCCGGUCUUCACUUGUGUAUUGGUGUUGAAACAACCCAAGUUGUUAUGGAUAUUUUGCCAAAUUAUUAUGUCUAUAAUAGAUAUGGAACACGAACAGUUUAGUCAAA